AUGGCGUCUCCCGAAAUUCAUACUGAACUGAGCUCUUCAUGUAACAGUACUGAGCAGUUUCAGGGCUUCGCCCCAAGUGUAUCCGGAGAGCUCAGGGUCACAGGCCGCUGCCAGCUGACCUACUGUUCAAAGGUGGGGUCUGUAGGAAGAGGCGGCUCCCCGACAACUGGAAGGGCCGCGCCCUCCCCGGCUCCCCCUCACCUCUGCUCUUGCUGCUGGUCUUGCCCCGGCGACUUCCUCAUUUUCUCCUCCACGCCCCACAGCCCUGCAGUCCCGCCUUGGAGCCGGCCAACUGUGGGCUGGAAAAGGAACCAAAACAAACCUCUCCUCUUUGAAGUUACUGGUGUCAGAUAUUUUGUCCCAGCGACAGGAGGAAGCAGGCAGGCCUGGCGCUGGGGACGAACCCGGGGCCUUGCCCGUGCUAGGCUGUCGCAGACUCCAGCCCUUCCCUCUGCAGGGCGCCGCAGGAGGCGCCACCUUCGCCUCAGCGAAGUCCCGGCCUUGCCACCUCCACAGACGUGACGGAGGAACCGUAGCCCGUCCUCCGCCGGCCCGCU
rnacentral:lncRNA from 1 species